rnacentral:misc_RNA from 1 species
GAUGAAGAACGUAGCGAAAUGCGAUAAGUAAUGCGAAUUGCAGAAUUCAGUGAGUCAUCGAAUCUUUGAACGCACAUUGCGCCCUGUGGUAUUCCGCAGGGCAUGCCUGUUCGAGCGUCAUUUCAACCCUCAAGCCCCGCUUGGUGUUGGGCCCCGCCCGCUGUGGCCGGCCCUAAAGACAGUGGCGGCGCCGCCUGGCCCUCAGCGUAGUACAUCUCUCGCUCCAGGGUCCGGUGGCCGCCUGCCAGAACCCCCCAACUCUGUGGUUGACCUCGGAUCAGGUAGGGAUACCCGCUGAACUUAAGCAUAUCAAUAAGCGGAAGA